rnacentral:rRNA from 1 species
GACGAACGCUGGCGGCGUGCCUAAUACAUGCAAGUAGAACGCUGAAGAGAGGAGCUUGCUCUUCUUGGAUGAGUUGCGAACGGGUGAGUAACGCGUAGGUAACCUGCCUUGUAGCGGGGGAUAACUAUUGGAAACGAUAGCUAAUACCGCAUAACAAUGGAUGACACAUGUCAUUUAUUUGAAAGGGGCAAUUGCUCCACUACAAGAUGGACCUGCGUUGUAUUAGCUAGUAGGUGAGGUAAUGGCUCACCUAGGCGACGAAACAUAGCCGACCUGAGAGGGUGAUCGGCCACACUGGGACUGAGACACGGCCCAGACUCCUACGGGAGGCAGCAGUAGGGAAUCUUCGGCAAUGGGGGUAACCCUGACCGAGCAACGCCGCGUGAGUGAAGAAGGUUUUCGGAUCGUAAAGUUCUGUUGUAAGUCAAGAACGGGUGUGAGAGUGGAAAGUUCACACUGUGACGGUAGCUUACCAGAAAGGGACGGCUAACUACGUG